rnacentral:rRNA from 1 species
GAAAGUAAACAAGGGCGCAUGGAGGAUGCCUAGGCUCUCGGAGGCGAAGAAGGACGUGAUAAGCUGCGAAAAGUUACGGUAAGGCGCAAAUAGCCCUAGACCCGUAAAUAUCCGAAUGGGGCAACCCGGCCAGCAAUGGCCAUACCGCCAAGCGGUAAGCCAACGCGGGGAACUGAAACAUCUAAGUACCCGCAGGAAAAGAAAAUAACAAUGAUUCCGCCAGUAGUGGCGAGCGAACGCGGAACAGCCCAAACCACCCGUGUUACGGCACGGGUGGGGUAGAAGGAUCCACGACACGGCAAGAAAUAAGUUAGCGGAAUACGAUGGAAAUCGUAGCCAGAGACGGUGACAGCCCGGUACGCGAAAACUGACAGAAGCCCAGUGGACACCUGAGUAACCCAGGACACGAGAAAUCCGGGGCGAAUCAGCGGGGCCCAUCCCGUAAGGCUAAAUACUCCCGAGAGACCGAUAGCGAACCAGUACUGUGAAGGAAAGGUGAAAAGCACCUCGAACAGAGGAGUGAAAUAGUCCCUGAAACCGUCUGCCUACAAGCGGUCGGAGCAACGUAAGUUGUGACGGCGUGCCUUUUGCAUAAUGAACCUACGAGUUACUUUCUCCGGCAAGGUUAAGGGCUUCAGGCCCGGAGCCGAAGCGAAAGCGAGUCUUAAUAGGGCGUGAUAGUCGGAGUGAGUAGACGCGAAACCAAGUGAUCUACCCUUGGUCAGGAUGAAGGUUGGGUAACACCAACUGGAGGUCCGAAUGGGUAUACGUUGAAAAGUGUUCCAAUGAACUGAGGGUAGGGGUGAAAGGCUAAUCAAACUUGGAGAUAGCUCGUACUCCCCGAAAUGCAUUUAGGUGCAGCCUUUAUUUAGUAUAGCAUGAGGUAGAGCGACUGAUUGGAUGCGAGGGCUUCACCGCCUAUCAAGUCCAGAUAAACUCCGAAUGCGUGCUAUAUAUUGAUAAGGAGUGAGGGCGCGGGUGCUAAGGUCCGCGUCCGAGAGGAGAAGAAUCCAGACCAUCAGCUAAGGUCCCCAAAUAACAGUUAAGUUGAACUAACGAAGUCGGACUGCAGAGACAGCUAGGAUGUUGGCUUGGAAGCAGCCAUUCAUUUAAAGAGUGCGUAACAGCUCACUAGUCGAGGAGUCCGGCGUGGAUAAUACUCGGGCAUAAACUGUUUACCGAAGCUAUGGAUGUAGAAAUACAUGGUAGGGGAGCAUUCCAACGGCGUCGAAGGUGAAGGAUGACCUUUGCUGGAGCUUUUGGAAACGCAAAUGUAGGUAUAAGUAACGAUAAAGGAGGUGAGAAACCUCCUCGCCGAAAGACUAAGGUUUCCUGAUCAACGUUAAUCGGAUCAGGGUAAGUCGGGACCUAAGGUUAAGCCGAACGGCGAUACCGAUGGAAGAAUGGUUUAAUAUUCCCAUACUACUUUAUGGAGCGAUGUGGAGACGGAGAAGUGAAAGUCCUGCCAUCUGACGGAAUAGGUGGUUGAAGAGUGUAGAUGUAGAUUCCUGUAGGCAAAUCCGCAGGGAGAGUCGACCUUGACAGUAUGCCGCGUGCUUGCACAAGGCAAAAUGGACGUAAUCAGGCUCCCAAGAAAAUCCGCUAAGCAUAUUCAUAAAGUACCCGUACCGUAAACGGACACACGUAGUUGGGUUGAAAAUACUGAGGCGCUCGAGUGAUUCACGGUUAAGGAACUAGGCAAAUUGACCCUGUAACUUCGGGAUAAAGGGUCCCUACUGAGAGGUAGGGCGCAGAGAAUAGGUCCAGGCAACUGUUUAACAAAAACACAUGGCUGUGCGAAAUAGAAAUAUGAAGUAUACAGCCUGACACCUGCCCGGUGCUGGAAGGUUAAGAGGAGAGCUCAUCGCAAGAGAAGGCUUGAAUUGAAGCCCCAGUAAACGGCGGCCGUAACUAUAACGGUCCUAAGGUAGCGAAAUUCCUUGUCGGGUAAGUUCCG